rnacentral:lncRNA from 1 species
GGAAAAGGGAAAAAGGAAUCCCUCCUACACAAUUCCAACCUCCCAUAUUAAACACACGAACAACAAAAGAAAAGACGAAAUCUUAAUUAAUUGCUCAAAAAUUACAUAAAGGAACAAAAUCCAAUUUUUUCCAGUCGAAUCAAUCGAUCAAGCAUUGUAUAAUAUGAUAUAAAAACAAAUAAAAUUGGUUUAUAUAGACAGAAAUGAUCGUCAACGGUGAAGGAACUGCACGUAAAACGUACCGGAGAUACGACGUCAUCGGAGGGGGAGGAGCGGGACCUGAUCGCCGUCAUGGAGGGGGUGGCGGAGUCCGCAAAAUCCAUGCUUCCGACCACCUUUCACGGCGUCAACCGCUCUGUUCUGACCGUUUGUUCAAUUCCUACCGAAAUGCAUAACAACAUAAUAAUUUCUUGUUCUAAUUUCUGUAAUUGCUUUUCUCUAAUUUUUAAUAAAAUUGGAAUAUACUUCUUAUGCAUUUGAUACAGAGUACGAGAUACUAUAAAAAACGAUAAAUC